rnacentral:miRNA from 1 species
UAAGGCACGCGGUAAGUGGGU